UAACACGUGGGUAACCUGCCUUAUAGUGGGGGAUAGCCUUUCGAAAGGAAGAUUAAUACCGCAUAAGAUUGUAGUAUCGCAUGAUAUAGCAAUUAAAGGAGCAAUCCGCUAUAAGAUGGACCCGCGUCGCAUUAGCUAGUUGGUGAGGUAAUGGCUCACCAAGGCGACGAUGCGUAGCCGACCUGAGAGGGUGAUCGGCCACAUUGGGACUGAGACACGGCCCAGACUCCUACGGAGGCAGCAUG
rnacentral:rRNA from 1 species